GAAUCUGAUUCUCUGGAGUUUGAGAAUUUAGAAGACAUCUACUUAGGAGAAGAUGAACCUGAAGCUGAUAUAAGAGAUCCUAAUGCAAAUGAAGAGAAUGCUGAUCCUGAACCAUCUGGAGGAAGUAUUGGCAACAAUACAAAUGAUCAUCAUGGUCACAGUGGUCAAAGUGGAGGAUCAUCAAAUAGGAUAUACAUCAGCUCAGGGGGAGUAAGUCAAAGUGGAUCUACUAGUCAUCACACUCAACACAACUAUGAUUUUGGUGAAUCAUCAAGAUUGAAUCUGCCAAGACAAAGGGUAUGGAGUAGAGACCAUCCUGUUGAACAAAUCAUUGGUGAUCCAGACACAGGAGUGCAGACUAGAAGAGCAACUCAGAAUGAAUGCAACUUUGCUGGAUUCUUGUCUCAGACAGAACCAAAGAAAGUUGAA
rnacentral:lncRNA from 1 species